rnacentral:rRNA from 1 species
UACGAAGGGGGCUAGCGUUGUUCGGAAUCACUGGGCGUAAAGCGCACGUAGGCGGAUUGUUAAGUCGGGGGUGAAAUCCUGAGGCUCAACCUCAGAACUGCCUCCGAUACUGGCAAUCUCGAGUUCGGAAGAGGUUGGUGGAACAGCUAGUGUAGAGGUGAAAUUCGUAGAUAUUAGCUAGAACACCAGUGGCGAAGGCGGCCAACUGGUCCGACACUGACGCUGAGGUGCGAAAGCGUGGGGAGCAAACAGGGAU